rnacentral:rRNA from 1 species
AGAGCGAACGUUAGCGGCGGGCCUAACACAUGCAAGUCGAACGCGAAAGCCUUUCGGGGUGAGUAGAGUGGCGCACGGGUGAGUAACACGUAGGUAAUCUGCCCUCAGGAAGGGGACAACUGCCCGAAAGGGCAGCUAAUACCGUAUAAGACCACGGCGUCUAUGGACGAAGUGGUAAAAGGUGGCCUCUGCUUGCAAGCUACCACCUGAGGAUGAGCCUGCGUACCAUCAGCUAGUUGGUGGGGUAAUGGCCUACCGAAGGCUAAGACGGUUAGCUGGUCUGAGAGGAUGAUCAGCCACACUGGCACUGAAACACGGGCCAGACUCCUAGGGAGGCAGCAGUGGGAAUAGUUGGACAAGUGGGCGCAAGCCUGAUCCGAGCCACGCCGCGUGAUGAUGAAGGCCUUCGGUUGUAAGCUCGUGGUGGGAGGAAGGAAAAAGGUAGGGAAGAACGAACCGCCCCGCCGUCGACCGUACCUCCUA